UAAUAUUCUUGUCUUCUAGUUAUUGGUCAUCUAUGUAUAUACUUAUUUCAUAUGAUGGAGAAAAGAUCAGAAGAAAAGGAAAUAAGGCAGAGUGAUGAAGAGAGAAAAACUCAUGGGAGGAGAAGAGGGAGGAAGAAAACACAGCAAAUUCUAUAAGAAUUGGGAAGACAUUGUGGUGUCAAAGGAAGGAAUUGCUCUACCAAAAGAGUCAUUUUACUUAGGAUACUGGGGUAUAGAUGAUGUCAAAAUGCUUAUAUGUAAAAUGUCCAUAUUUCCACUGCCUUUACAGAGUCCCAUCUUGCUCCUUCCAACAGUCAUUUCCCUCAAGAAGAUGCAGUUUGCUUACAUCACUGGCUGGUCUUCUUUAGGAGCGAGGCAAAGAACUGGGCAUUGGAAAGACUAUAUAGCAGGGCUGACUGCAAACUGCAACGGCUACAUUCCAUACCCGCAGGUGCCAGCUCCCCCUCCUUCUUUGUUCCAGAAGCUAAAGCCAAGCUCAGAAUCAUGACCAGACACACCCUUUCCACCUGGGUGGAUAAGGUUAGACAGGAAGGUGCAGUUUAUGAAAAAGGAGAAGAGAAUGAGAGAAGACGAGAAAGAUAUGAAGAGAAGGAACUAAAAUGACAAAAGAUUCAUUAUCAGAUUAAAGAAUGUGUCUUUGGGAUCAGAGGCAAUGGAAUAUCCUUGAAUAUUUUUAAGUAGGAUGUGACCCAAACCUUAGGAAGACUUUUAUAGCAGUCAUAUUGACGCUGAAAUGGAGAGAGAUCAGAAGCAGAAGCCAUUUGGAGACCAAUGAAAUAGUUCAAAUGACAGGUGAGCAGUGAGGAUUUGAACUAAGGUAGUGGAUGAGAUUGAAAUUUAAAAAAAUGUUUUAGGUAGAAUAAAUAAAACCUGGAAACUGAUUGGAUACAGGAUAGAAUGGGGUAAGAA
rnacentral:lncRNA from 1 species